GGAAGUGUGCCCGAACAUCACAAGGACUACUUUGAUAGAGUAUACCAUGGGGGCGAAACUCCCCCCACUCCCC
rnacentral:tRNA from 1 species